GCUUCAAUUGAGUUUGUUUUUCCUUGCCUUGCCUUAGGGAAUUUAUUUUCCAUGCUUCCACUUGUCCAAAUGCCUUGAUUUUUGGUAUGUUGAUCAUGUGAUGUGUGUUGUUUAGCCAUUAUUUUUCUUGGAAUUUAUUGAAUCAUUUUUGAAUUGAUGUGGAUUUGUUCAUUCUGUUGUAUCAAUGUGGUUCCAACUUGCACACUUUGCCUUAUAUGACUUGUGAAAUGAAAUUGGUUGAUGAUAUGGACAUGAGACUUUU
rnacentral:lncRNA from 1 species